AUUGAACGCUGGCGGCAUGCCUAACACAUGCAAGUCGAACGGCAGCACGGUCCAGUUUACUGGAUGGGUGGCGAGUGGCGGACGGGUGAGUAACGCGUAGGAAUAUGCCUUAGAGAGGGGGAUAACUUGGGGAAACUCAAGCUAAUACCGCAUAAACUCUUAGGAGAAAAGCUGGGGACCUUUGGGCCUGGCGCUUUAAGAUUAGCCUGCGUACGAUUAGCUAGUUGGUGGGGUAAGGGCCUACCAAGGCGACGAUCGUUAGCUGGUCUGAGAGGAUGGCCAGCCACACUGGAACUGAGACACGGUCCAGACUCCUACGGGAGGCAGCAGUGGGGAAUAUUGGACAAUGGGGGGAACCCUGAUCCAGCAAUGCCGCGUGUGUGAAGAAGGCCUGAGGGUUGUAAAGCACUUUCAGUGGGGAGGAGGAUUGACAGGUUAAGAGCUAGUUAAUUGGACGUUACCCACAGAAGAAGCACCGGCUAACUCCGUGCCAGCAGCCGCCGUAA
rnacentral:rRNA from 1 species